GAUGAACGCUGGCGGCGUGCCUAAUACAUGCAAGUCGAGCGAACAGACGAGGAGCUUGCUCCUCUGACGUUAGCGGCGGACGGGUGAGUAACACGUGGAUAACCUACCUAUAAGACUGGGAUAACUUCGGGAAACCGGAGCUAAUACCGGAUAAUAUAUUGAACCGCAUGGUUCAAUAGUGAAGGACGGUUUUGCUGUCACUUAUAGAUGGAUCCGCGCCGCAUUAGCUAGUUGGUAAGGUAACGGCUUACUAAGGCGACGAUGCGUAGCCGACCUGAGAGGGUGAUCGGCCACACUGGAACUGAGACACGGUCCAGACUCCUACGGGAGGCAGCAGUAGGGAAUCUUCCGCAAUGGGCGAAAGCCUGACGGAGCAACGCCGCGUGAGUGAUGAAGGUCUUCGGAUCGUAAAACUCUGUUAUUAGGGAAGAACAAAUGUGUAAGUAACUAUGCACGUCUUGACGGUACCUAAUCAGAAAGCCACGGCUAACUACGUG
rnacentral:rRNA from 1 species